AAUGAACGUUGGCGGCGUGGAUUAGGCAUGCAAGUCGAGCGCUCAUAGCAAUAUGGGAGCGGCGAACGGCGUAGUAAUAUGUAGGAACGUACCCUAGGGUCGGGGAUAGCCAUGGGAAACUGUGGGUAAUACCCGAUAAUCUCUGCGGAGCAAAGGUGUGAUUCCGCCUGAGGAGCGGCCUACACGAUAUUAGCUAGUUGGUAGGGUAAUGGCCUACCAAGGCUACGAUGUCUAGGGGGUGUGAGAGCAUGGCCCCCACGACCGGAACUGAGAUACUGUCCGGACACCUACGGGUGGCUGCAGUCGAGAAUCUUCCGCAAUGGACGAAAGUCUGACGGAGCGACGCCGCGUGCGGGAUGAAGGCCCUUGGGUUGUAAACCGCUGUCAGAGGGGAUGAAAUCUUCGGAGGUGCUCCUCCAAAGUUGACAGAGCCUCAAAGGAAGCACGGGCUAAGUACGUG
rnacentral:rRNA from 1 species